GGGGUUAUAGCUCAGCUGGGAGAGCGCUUGCAUGGCAUGCAAGAGGUCCGCGGUUCGAUCGCGUAGCUCCACCA
rnacentral:tRNA from 1 species